GCGGCAGCACCUGCCUCACGUGGGUCCGCAGCUCCAACUACAGGAACGGCCUUUCACGGAGGAAGCAGCCAGUAGCUCUCCGACACAAUUACCUGGUAUCCGAAGCAGCGUGGGCACCAGCAUGAAUAUUCAGUGUGUGCUUCGCUCCGUGACAAUUUUAGGGACCAGUUAAGGGUCAAAUGUGGAUUCUGCGGUCUACUCUCCUGCCGCGUGCCCUCCCGCAUCGCGUUGGGUGGCAUCUCGGCCACACUUCAGUCCAGCCUGAGUGUCAGCACAUCGGAGUCUCAAGUCUGUGGCUUUGCUCGGUUAAUUUCCGCCAUCGCAUCAAUGUGAAGAAGUUUCUGCAGUCAUGCUCUGUAGCUGGGGGGGAGCAGAGCAAGGCAGAUAACUCAGGGACCGUCUCAGAUGGGAGCUGUGCCAAAAUCAGCAAGACACCCAGCUUUGCUCGGAUUCUCCAUGAGACAGUGCAUGGAUGCAAAAUGGCUAGCAGUAACUAGCAGUAUGAAUAAACUUCCACCUUUGGGAUCACUGCUUAUUUUUCCUAACAGCAGCAGCCGCAAAAAACCACGAACGACAUUUUUAUAGCAACUUAUCAUUUGCAAGAUGCUCGCACAUCCAUUAUCUCAUGUGAUGCUCACCAAAACCUUGUGACCCAGAUAUUACUUUUAUUCUGCUAAAAAUCAGCAAACCAUGGCUUAAGUAAAGCCGGGGACUUUUCCAAGGGCAUUCUUCUUAUGAGAAGGUGGACACAGGUUGCAAUCCUAAGGCCAUUCCCUUCUCUUUCCACCCUGCCUCGUCUACAGAGAGGAAGAUGGCAGAAGAAAUGGAGGUGAAGGAAGGUUAAGGAAGGUGGGAUACGUUUUAAUCAAAUUUGGUAGACCUGGUCCCAUUUGGGGACACAUGAGGAGGAUUUUACUGCAUUUUCCAGCCCUUUGUUCUACAUAAGCCAUGUGCCAAUAUGAGAAGAUAUAGUCAUCUAAAUAAAAUUGGCUUAAGCAAUAA